GACGAACGCUGGCGGCGUGCUUAACACAUGCAAGUCGAACGGAAAGGCCCUGCUUUUGUGGGGUGCUCGAGUGGCGAACGGGUGAGUAACACGUGAGUAACCUGCCCUUGACUUUGGGAUAACUUCAGGAAACUGGGGCUAAUACCGGAUAGGAGCUCCUGCUGCAUGGUGGGGGUUGGAAAGUUUCGGCGGUUGGGGAUGGACUCGCGGCUUAUCAGCUUGUUGGUGGGGUAGUGGCUUACCAAGGGUUUGACGGGUAGCCGGCCUGAGAGGGUGACCGGCCACAUUGGGACUGCGAUACGGCGCAGACUCCUACGGGAGGCAGCAGUGGGGAAUAUUGCACAAUGGGCGGAAGUCGGAGGCAGCAACGCCGCGUGCGGGAUGACGGCCUUCGGGUUGUAAACCGCUUUCGCCUGUGACGAAGCGUGAGUGACGGUAAUGGGUAAAGAAGCACCGGCUAACUACGUG
rnacentral:rRNA from 1 species